UUUGUACUGAACCAAUUUUGAUCUCUCACCAUCUUCUUCUUUUCGUUAUGCGAAGAUUCAAAUACCAUGUAAGCGUAACUUCUUCUAAAGAAGUUUACGUCUAUGAUGGUUUAUAUAAAAACUUCCAGCUUUGGUGGAUGAGUAACUGCUAGGAAAAGCAGAACUCAGGAGAAUCUACCAUCAGAUCUUCAACCUUUGCUUGUUCCUAUGGACAAAUGAAGUGUGCAUCGUCUCCACAGGUACUAAUUUCAAGCUCGUAGAGGGGGAUGACGACGAUGAAGGUUUGGAUGACAGACAAAGGAAUAGAUGAUGCAUGAGAUGAGAUGAGAAGUGGAUAGGCAUGGGAAAUCCGGAGCUUCUGCAAUAUUUCCAUGAAUACAAUCCUUCGAAAGCUAAACAUGCCUGUGGACCUCAAGGCAGUAAAGAUUUUUGUUUUUCAAAUAAUGUACGGUUAAAUUAAGAUGAAAUAAGAUUUUAGUGAGAAAUUGUGUAAUAUUGAUUGAUGUAAUUGUCACCUAAUGAAUAAAAUUAAAUUAGUUAAAUGUGUUCUU